UAUUUUGGUCCUUCGAGCCGGAUCAGAAAUAUCAGAACUGUUAUCUGUGACUCUGUUCCAAGGAUCCAGAACUGAUUCCUGACGCCGUGGGAAGCCAGCACCGAAGUCUGUGCACAGCCCUCUUAGACGAGGCCGAAAGCCCUGGGACGUUUAAAUUCGGGUCCAGGCCGGUGUUUUUAGUCUGGUCCACGGCGGUGGGAUUCAGUCUGACGAUCCGAAACACCAGUGAGACGUCUGAGGGUGAGAGAAACACUAUUUUGUAAAACGGCCACGAAGGUUUUAAGAAACGCGUAAAAUGAAAUGAUAAAAUAGGUUAAGUUCGCCAAAAGGCCAAAAGAACUAAGUUUAGACCAGUUUCAGAGGUAGCUGUUAAAUACUUCGUGACAAAUUAGCGCGCAAAUGUCUAUCUGUGUGUAUGUGUGUAUGUGUCUAGAAGUAAGUUGAUUUUACAGCACAAUACGCUGCUGAACUACUUCUAUUUUAUUUGUUUUCUUUGCUUGAGGCUCAAGUACUGGUGACAAAUGAGAACGGUUGAGUUUUAUCUCGUAAAACUGAUACCGCUUCAUUUUUUAGAAGUGAAGUAGAAGGGCGUAUCAGCAACCACUCUGAAGUCAAGUGUGCCAGUGACAGCCCAGCAAAAUCUUUGAAAAUGGAGAA